rnacentral:lncRNA from 1 species
GGUCACACGGGAUGACUCUAUAUCCCACCCUCCUCCACCCCCCUGGGAGAGUCUGGAGUGCUGCGUCAUGUCUGAAACCAUGGGAAAAAAAUUUAAAUCAUUCGUAUUCUGCGACAGCAAGAAUUCUUUAGCUGUGAGAAGAGAUGGGGUGUCAAACAAACGGAAUAUUCCUGGCUAUUUGUAUGUGCGGAAGAAUGAAGCAUUUGCAUCAGAAGGGCUGAGAGGGUCGCACCUGUGGCAAUACCAGAUCCAAGACGUGUCUGCGACUUGCACUGCAGCUUGUGCCAAUGCCGUGAUCCUUAACCCAUUGAGCAAGGCCAGGGAUCGAACCUGCAUCCUCAUGGAUACUACUCAGCUGAACCUCUUUUGCUGUCCAUCAGCGUGAGGCGUGUUCCCAUGAGAAGCACCCUGACCUCGUGGGGAGGUGGGUUUCCCAACUCUUGGGUCCUUAGUUAGGGUCCCUUCGAAAGGACUGUGGUUGCCAAACCAGCCUGGGUUUCAUCCUCCUUAAAGCAGAUGGGACAGGAGUUCCUGCUGUGGGGCAAUGGCACAGGCAGCAUCCUUGCUGCUUCAGGGCACGGGUUCAGUGCCCAGCCUGGAAAGCGGAUUAAAGAUCCAGCGUUGCCACAGCGGUAGUGUAGGUCACAACUGUGGCUCAGAUCCAAUCCCUGGCCCGGGAACUCUAUAUGCUGCUGGAAGGCCAAAAAAGAAAAAAGAAAAAAAAAAAAA